UCCACCUUGCUUCACUGCCUCUGCUACGUCUCUGCACGUCCGUCCGACCGUCCGUCUGUAAGAGGGUUAGCUUCGAUGGUACGCGAUGUCGUCGUAGUCGUGUUGUUGAGCUAGAGAGUAGUUGGGUUGCUUCGUUCGUCUCGGGGAAAGAGUCGUGUGUAUCAAAACAUCGCCAAGACUGUUCUGCUACUACGAAAUAUACAGAAGAAUAAUAAAGAAUACCAGAGUGUUAAGUGUGUUAUUUACAUGUGACGAGACAACUCACUGCGUGUUUGUUAAUAGCCUCUCAUCGUCUGUGAGCAGCUACCUACCGCCAUCAUCAUCAUCGUCAUCUUCGUGCGAGAUUUGGUGUCAGUGUUGGUUGGUUCGUUAGUGAGUGGUUGAUAUUGGUUGCAAGUUGGUCGAUGCCUACUACACCACUCGGCGUGCACAUGUCUGCGGGAAGGUGAACGUAAAGUGAAAGACUCGCAGUUUGCGAAUGUGAAGAAGAAGAAGAAGAAGAAGAAGAGGAGACAAAACAGCGAUCAUAUGAUUUCGUUCGCUUCGCGCUGUUGCUGUUUCGGUUGCGAAUGAUGACGAUGAUGGUUGUGUGAUAGUGGACGAUGGUAAUGGUUCCAAUGACCAUGGUACCAAUGGUGAUGAUGAUCAUAAGCAAGAAGAAGCAAUUGGUGAAAACGGUGUAUUGAAAAGCUCGGUGAGUCACCGAAGAAGGUGUUCG